rnacentral:lncRNA from 1 species
AAAUGGAAUCAAAGAACAAGUCCCUGAAAAUUGAUGUCACGGGAUUGCAUACACUAGUAUACACCUAGUGUAUACGGAAAUGGGCCUAAAGGCCCCGUAUUCAAUUUUGUAUUUUGUUGUUGGGCCUAAGCCCCUUUUAUUUUAAUUAUCAUCUUGUUAGUUUAGGACAGGUACUAAGGUUUGGGCCUUUGGACCCAAAACUGAAAUUAAGCCCAAGUACUGGCCCAGGCGGAC